rnacentral:rRNA from 1 species
AAAGAUUAAGCCAUGCAUGUCUAAGUAUAACCUGCCAGACAGGGAAACUGCGUACGGCUCAUUACACCAGCCUUAAUUUACUUGACCUUGACAACCUACUUGGAUAACUGUGGUAAUUCUAGAGCUAAUACAUGCACCAAAGCUCCGAUCCUCGCGGAGAGGAGCGCAUUUGUUCGCCACAAAACCAAGCGCCCAUCUGGGCGUCCAGUGCUGAACCAGAACAACUCAGCUGAUCGCACGGUCUUGUACCGGCGACGUGUCUUUCAAGUGUCUGCCUUAUCAACUUUCGAUGGUAGUGUACCUGACUACCAUGGUUAUGACGGGUAACGGAGGAUAAGGGUUCGACUCCGGAGAAGGGGCCUGAGAAAUGGCCACUACGUCUAAGGAUGGCAGCAGGCGCGCAAAUUACCCACUCUCAACGCGAGGAGGUAGUGACGAGAAAUAACGAGACCGUUCUCAUACGAGGCCGGUUAUUGGAAUGGGUACAAUUUAAACCCUUUAACGAGUAUCUAUGAGAGGGCAGGUCUGGUGCCAGCAGCCGCGGUAAUUCCAGCUCUCAAAAUGCAUAGAAUUAUUGCUGCGGUUAAAAAGCUCGUAGUUGGAUCUGUGCCGACUGGCCGGUCCCCCUUUUGGGUGCGUACUGGUUCGGUUGGCUUUUCCGCCGGAGUGCCUGGCGUUGGUGCGCUCGCGAGGGUGUGCCAGCGCGGGUCCGGCAAGUUUACUUUGAACAAAUCAGAGUGCUUCAAACAGGCGUCUCGCCUGAAUGUUCGUGCAUGGAAUAAUAGAAGAGGAUUUCGGUCCGAUUUUAUUGGUUUUGCUGACCGAGAUAAUGGUUAACAGAGACAAACGGGGCCAUUCGUAUUGCUGCGUGAGAGGUGAAAUUCUUGGACCGUAGCAAGACGGACUACAGCGAAAGCAUUUGCCAAGAAUG